rnacentral:rRNA from 1 species
GGAGUUAGGAAAUGUAGGUACGAUAAUACCGUGCCUAUUUGACAAAGGCUCCAAAGGAAGCCACGGCUAACUCUGUGCCAGCAGCCGCGGUAAUACAGAGGUGGCAAGCGUUGUUCGGAAUUAUUGGGCGUAAAGAGCACGUAGGUGGGUUUGUAAGUCAGGUGUGAAAGCCUUCUGUUCAACAGGAGAAUUGCAUCUGAAACUGCGAAUCUUGAGUGUAGGAGGGGAGAGUGGAAC